GACAGAGGAUGCAAGCGUUAUCCGGAAUGAUUGGGCGUAAAGCGUCUGUAGGUGGCUUUUCAAGUCCGCCGUCAAAUCCCAGGGCUCAACCCUGGACAGGCGGUGGAAACUACCAAGCUGGAGUUCGGUAGGGGAGUGUGGAAUUCCUGGUGGAGCGGUGAAAUGCGCAGAUAUCAGGAGGAACACCCGUAGCGAAGGCGGCACUCUGGGCCGAUACUGACACUGAGGAGCGAAAGCGUGGGGAGCGAACAGG
rnacentral:rRNA from 1 species